AAAGCUCGUAGUUGGAUUCAGAGGUGGGGUUGUGGGUCGGGUGUGGCCCGGCAGCUUGUCUCCGUGUGCCGCUCCCAAUCAACCCGCGUUUGCCCCAGCCUCCUAUCGCACGGAAACGGAGUCCUGCUGGGGUCUCCUUAACUGGGGGUUCCAGCGCUUCCGCGCACAACGUGCGCUUACGGACCGUCCGUGGACGUUACUGUGAACAAAACAGCGUGUUCAAAGCAAGUGGCUUGCCUGCCCUGCAUGUUAAAGCAUGGAAUAACAAGGCAUCGACCACUCGGCGGUGCUUUUGUUGGUCUUUCCCUCCCGGUGGGAAUGCGCAGGCGUGCACACUGCCGGCCUUCUGGCCGGUCUGGGUGCCGUCUCUUCGAGAUCAAUAGGGGCAAACGGGGAGAUACCUAUUGUGGGGAGAGCGGUGAAAUGCGAUGACCCCCAUAAGAGGAACUUCAGCGAAAGCAGUUCUCAAGACUGCCUUCGUUAAUCAAGAACGAGACUGUGGGGAUCAAAGAUGAUCAGAUACCGUCGUAGUCCACUAGCGUAAACGAUGCCGACUCAUCAUUGGGGG
rnacentral:rRNA from 1 species